CACUCCUGGCAAUGGGCAGAGAUACCUUUCUGCUAGUGGUGGUGUUCUUCUAUCAGUCAGGGCAGAGCAGACAUCAGUUCUUUGUUCAUCCUAGCUUGAUUCCUGGCUUGGUGGCCAAAGCGAUUUUAUGACUAGGACACAUAA